GUGGCGGCUCAGUGGUAGAGCACUCACCUAGCACAGAUGAGGCCCUGGGUUAGAUUCUCAGCACCACA
rnacentral:tRNA from 1 species